CGGGGUGUAGCGCAGCCCGGUAGCGCGCCUGCUUUGGGAGCAGGAUGUCGGGAGUUCGAAUCUCUUCACCCCGA
rnacentral:tRNA from 1 species